rnacentral:rRNA from 1 species
CCUACGGGGGGCAGCAGUGAGGAAUAUUGGUCAAUGGGCGGAAGCCUGAACCAGCCAAGUAGCGUGCGGGAUGAAGGCCCUACGGGUCGUAAACCGCUUUUGCACGGGGAUAACACCCUCCACUUGUGGAGGUCUGCAGGUACCGUGCGAAUAAGGGCCGGCUAAUUCCGUGCCAGCAGCCGCGGUAAUACGGAAGGCCCGAGCGUUAUCCGGAUUCAUUGGGCUUAAAGGGAGCGUAGGCGGGCGUUCAAGUCAGCUGUAAAAUCGCGCGGCUCAACCGCGCCCCGCAGUUGAAACUGGACGAGUUGAGUGCACAAGAGGCAGGCGGAAGGUGUGGUGUAGCGGUGAAAUGCAUAGAUAGCACGAGGAACCCCGAUUGCGAAGGCAGCCUGCCGGGGUGCGACUGACGCUGAGGCGCGAAGGUGAGGGUAUCAAACAGGAUGAGAUACCCGGGUAGUC